rnacentral:rRNA from 1 species
GAAUCCUAGCUCAGAUUGAACGCUGGCGGCAGGCUUAACACAUGCAAGUCGAACGGUAACAUAAAGAAGCUUGCUUCUUUGAUGACGAGUGGCGGACGGGUGAGUAAUGCUUGGGAAUCUAGCUUAUGGAGGGGGAUAACUACGGGAAACUGUAGCUAAUACCGCGUAAUAUCGAAAGAUUAAAGUGUGGGACCUUCGGGCCACAUGCCAUAAGAUGAGCCCAAGUGGGAUUAGGUAGUUGGUGAGGUAAAGG